CAGGUUCAACUGCAGCAGUCUGGGGCUGAGCUGGUGAGGCCUGGGGCUUCAGUGACGCUGUCCUGCAAGGCUUCGGGCUACACAUUUACUGACUAUGAAAUGCACUGGGUGAAGCAGACACCUGUGCAUGGCCUGGAAUGGAUUGGAGCUAUUGAUCCUGAAACUGGUGGUACUGCCUACAAUCAGAAGUUCAAGGGCAAGGCCAUACUGACUGCAGACAAAUCCUCCAGCACAGCCUACAUGGAGCUCCGCAGCCUGACAUCUGAGGACUCUGCCGUCUAUUACUGUACAAGA